GAUGAACGCUGGCGGCGUGCCUAAUACAUGCAAGUCGAGCGAACAGAUAAGGAGCUUGCUCCUUUGACGUUAGCGGCGGACGGGUGAGUAACACGUGGGUAACCUACCUAUAAGGCUGGAAUAACUCCGGGAAACCGGGGCUAAUGCCGGAUAACAUUUAGAACCGCAUGGUUCUAAAGUGAAAGAUGGUUUUACUAUCACUUAUAGAUGGACCCGCGCCGUAUUAGCUAGUUGGUAAGGUAACGGCUUACCAAGGCAACGAUACGUAGCCGACCUGAGAGGGUGAUCGGCCACACUGGAACUGAGACACGGUCCAGACUCCUACGGGAGGCAGCAGUAGGGAAUCUUCCGCAAUGGGCGAAAGCCUGACGGAGCAACGCCGCGUGAGUGAUGAAGGUCUUCGGAUCGUAAAACUCUGUUAUUAGGGAAGAACAAAUGUGUAAGUAACUGUGCACGUCUUGACGGUACCUAAUCAGAAAGCCACGGCUAACUACGUG
rnacentral:rRNA from 1 species